UACGUAGGGUGCGAGCGUUGUCCGGAAUUAUUGGGCGUAAAGAGCUCGUAGGCGGUUUGUCGCGUCGGCCGUGAAAACUUGGGGCUUAACCCCAAGCCUGCGGUCGAUACGGGCAGACUUGAGUUCGGCAGGGGAGACUGGAAUUCCUGGUGUAGCGGUGAAAUGCGCAGAUAUCAGGAGGAACACCGAUGGCGAAGGCAGGUCUCUGGGCCGAUACUGACGCUGAGGAGCGAAAGCGUGGGGAGCGAACAGG
rnacentral:rRNA from 1 species